rnacentral:rRNA from 1 species
AUUGAACGCUGGCGGCAUGCCUUACACAUGCAAGCCGAACGGCAGCGCGGGGCAACCUGGCGGCGAGUGGCGAACGGGUGAGUAAUAUAUCGGAACAUACCCUAGAGUGGGGAUAACGUAGCGAAAGUUACGCUAAUACCGCAUACGCACUAAGGUGGAAAGUGGGGGAGUUCGCAAGAACCUCAUGCUCAUGGAGUGGCCGAUAUCUGAUUAGCUAGUUGGUGAGGUAAAGGCUCACCAAGGCAACGAUCAGUAGCUGGUUUGAGAGAACGACCAGCCACACUGGAACUGAGACACGGUCCAGACUCCUACGGGAGGCAGCAGUGGGGAAUUUUGGACAAUGGGGGCGAACCCUGAUCCAGCAAUGCGCGUGAGUGAAGAAGGCCUCGGUUGUAAGACGUCUUUU